rnacentral:rRNA from 1 species
UACGGAGGAGGCAAGCGUUAUCCGGAAUUAUUGGGCGUAAAGCGUCCGCAGGUGGCCCUUCAAGUCUGUCGUCAAAGACUGGGGCUUAACCCUGGAAAGGCGGUGGAAACUGAAGCGCUAGAGUGUGGUAGGGGUAGAGGGAAUUCCCGGUGUAGCGGUGAAAUGCUUAGAUAUGACAUAGAACACCAAUUGCGAAGGCAGCUUACUACACAGUUAUUGACACUGAGGCACGAAAGCGUGGGGAUCAAACAGG